GAUGAAGAACGCAGCGAAAUGCGAUACUUGGUGUGAAUUGCAGAAUCCCGUGAACCAUCGAGUCUUUGAACGCAAGUUGCGCCCGAAGCCAUUAGGCCGAGGGCACGCCUGCCUGGGCGUCACACGUCGUUGCCCCCCCAUCUACUCCUUCGGGAUUGCGGGGGGCGGAUGAUGGCCUCCCGUGCGCCUCGUCGCGCGGUUGGCAUAAAUGCCAAGUCCUCGGCGACACACGCCACGACAAUCGGUGGUUGCGAAACCUCGGUUGCCCGUCGUGUGCGGUCGUCGCGCAUCGAGGGCUCGAAAAAAUUGUCGGGCUCCGGCUCGGCUUUCAACGCGACCCCAGGUCAGGCGGGGUUACCCGCUGAAUUUAAGCAUAUCAAUAAGCGGAGGA
rnacentral:misc_RNA from 1 species